GAAAGAUUAGGUUAGUGGAGACUGAAAGCCUUCAAAGCUUUAGGGGCGGGUUCGAGUCCCGUAUCUUUUA
rnacentral:tRNA from 4 species